UUGAACCCAUAGGUCGAUCAGCUGUUGAUACUCACGAAAACAAUUCAUUCGCUCGAUCGAAUAGUCAGAUAGUGUAUUUGGAUUACGAUACAAUUUCCCACAAAUAAGAGCACGAUUUCAAAAUGUUGAAUUGACAGAAAGACAUCUGGAUCCGUCAGCGCUAUAUUCAUUCAUGGUGUGUGCUGAAACCCCUGAGUUCUUAAGAAAAUUCAGGGAGAUGGAAAAGGCACCAUGCAUUAUGUCACCAGUGUGCUGAAUGAGUGGGGGCAGUUUCUGACAACUGCACGCCUCCGAGUCGGAGCAAUGUUACAGGAGGCUUGCUCAGGGACUCAUCGCACGCUUUAAACGUGCCAAUGCUGCAGCGCCAAAGGUGCUCUACGCUGACAACAACUGUUGUAGGGAUGGUGGGACCUCAUGUCUUGCAUCCCUCUUCCAAGACUGGACUGACGAUGGUAUGGUCAUCAGACUUGACAUUUGGCACUGGCUCCACCGGUGGGAUAUGCUGGUGCAGUACUGGCAUACAACAAACAUGACAUGGACCAACUCAUCCAAGCCAUCCGCAAAGGGAACAAGGACUUCUCACAGUACAGAGAUUAUGAAAUGAGGCUGUCUUUCGGCAAGCCACAUUGAUCAG